rnacentral:sRNA from 1 species
CGCAUCGGUCCGGAGUCAGUGGGUUACCUUACUUCUAUGAUAUAUAGCGCAUUGCUCUAAGCGGCAGCGAACCCCCCAGCGCUGGUUGCAACGUGAGCACCCCUCCCGCUGACAUCACUUGACCGAUGU